CCGGCUCAAGGCCGAUCCUUCUGGUGACGCAGACGGACUCUCUGUGGCUACCGUCAUCUACCGACACCGAGAAUAACCCACCUCUCUGAGCUCCACGCCUCCAGAAACACUGUGUCGUGACAGAGCCCCAUCAGUGUGCCCCCACCUAAAACGCUGUAAAUUUGAUCCAGAAAAUAUUCUUUGUCCAAGUGUGGAUUUAUUUCAAAAUUGUCAAGAUUUAUAUAUUAUUUUACUACAUAUGACAAGCAACUCUUAGCUUAAAGUAAAAACUUUCACAUUUAAGGUGGUUUUUAAAAAAAAGAUACUUU